rnacentral:rRNA from 1 species
UCCUAACCUUACUGNUAGUUUUUGCUAGGGAUAUA